rnacentral:rRNA from 1 species
UACGAAGGGAGCUAGCGUUGUUCGGAAUCACUGGGCGUAAAGCGCACGUAGGCGGAUUUGCCAGUCAGGGGUGAAGUCCCGGGGCUCAACCUCGGAACUGCCUUUGAUACAGCAAGUCUUGAGUUCGAGAGAGGUGGGUGGAAUUCCUAGUGUAGAGGUGAAAUUCGUAGAUAUUAGGAAGAACACCGGUGGCGAAGGCGGCCCACUGGCUCGACACUGACGCUGAGGUGCGAAAGCGUGGGGAGCAAACAGG